AACGAACGCUGGCGGCAUGCCUAACACAUGCAAGUCGAACGAGACCUUCGGGUCUAGUGGCGCACGGGUGCGUAACGCGUGGGAACCUGCCCUUAGGUUCGGAAUAACUCCCCGAAAGGGGUGCUAAUACCGGAUAAUGUCUUCCGACCAAAGAUUUAUCGCCUUUGGAUGGGCCCGCGUUGGAUUAGCUAGUUGGUAGGGUAAAAGCCUACCAAGGCGACGAUCCAUAGCUGGUCUGAGAGGAUGAUCAGCCACACUGGGACUGAGACACGGCCCAGACUCCGACGGGAGGGAGCAGUGGGGAAUAAUGGACAAUGGGCGAGAGCCUGAGCCAGCAAGGCCGCGAGAGUGAUGAAGGCGGUAGGGUUGGAAAGCUCUUUUACCCGGGAUGACAAUGACAGAACCGGGAGAAUAAACUCCGGCUAACUCCGU
rnacentral:rRNA from 1 species